UACGGGGGGGGGGCAAGCGUUUGUUCGGGAAUUACUGGGCGUAAAGGGCGUGAAGGCGGCCAACUAAGUCGGAUGUGAAAUCCCCAGGCUCAACCUGGGAACUGCAUCCGAUACUGGAUGGCUUGAAUUCGGGAGAGGGAUGCAGAAUUCCAGGUGUAGCGGUGAAAUGCGUAGAUAUCUGGAGGAAUACCGGUGGCGAAGGCGGCAUCCUGGACCGACAUUGACGCUGUAGCGCGAAAGCUAGGGGAGCAAACGGG
rnacentral:rRNA from 1 species